rnacentral:rRNA from 1 species
AGCAGCCGCGGUAAUUCCAGCUCCAAUAGCGUAUAUUAAAGUUGUUGCAGUUAAAAAGCUCGUAGUUGAAUUUCGGGGUCAGUAGGUUGGUCGUGCCACCGGUACGUACUGGUCUCACUGAUUCCUCCUUCCUGAUGAGCUGUAAUGCCAUUAAUUUGGUGUUGCAGGGAAUCUGGACUGUUACUUUGAAAAAAUUAGAGUGUUUAAAGCAGGCUAACGCUUGAAUACAUUAGCAUGGAAUAAUGAAAUAGGACGUUCGAUCCUAUUUUGUUGGUUUCUAGGAUUGACGUAAUGAUUAGUAGGGAUAGUUGGGGGCAUUAGUAUUCAAUUGUCAGAGGUGAAAUUCUUGGAUUUAUUGAAGACUGACUACUGCGAAAGCAUUUGCCAAGGAUGUUUUCAUUAAUCAAGAACGAAAGUUAGGGGAUCGAAGACGAUCAGAUACCGUCGUAGUCUUAACCAUAAACUAUGCCGACUAGGGAUCGGAUGAUGUUAAUUUUUUAAGUGUACUUAUUCGCGUCCC